rnacentral:rRNA from 1 species
CCUACGGGAGGCAGCAGUGGGGAAUUUUGCGCAAUGGGGGCAACCCUGACGCAGCAACGCCGCGUGAGUGAUGAAGGCCUUCGGGUCGUAAAGCUCUGUCAGAGGGGAAGAAAUGCAGGUGGUGAACAACCAUUCUGUUUGACGGUACCCUCAAAGGAAGCACCGGCUAACUCCGUGCCAGCAGCCGCGGUAAUACGGAGGGUGCGAGCGUUGUUCGGAAUUAUUGGGCGUAAAGCGCGUGUAGGCGGUUUGUUAAGUCGGAGGUAAAAGCCCCGGGCUCAACCGGGGAAGUGCAUUGGAUACUGGCAGACUUGAGUACGGGAGAGGAGAGUGAAAUUCCCAGUGUAGGAGUAAAAUCCGUAGAUAUUGGGAGGAACACCGGUGGCGAAGGCGGCCUUCGGGGUUUCUCCUGACGCUGAGGGGCGAAAGCCGGGGGAGCGAACCGGAUUAGAUCCCCUG